GGCGGCCGCGAAGCUGCGUUCCGGGGCGGGGAGGGGCCGCCCUGGGGCUGGGGGGCGAGGGCUGGGGGCUGGGGGGCGAGGCAGGCCUUGUGCUGGGUGUGAGGGCGAGGGGCAGCUCUGGGCACCUUGGGGUGGCUGCUGUCAGUUCCUCACAGGAGGAUACUGUAUAUACAGGGGCAAAAAUACAUAUAUAUAUAUGUUAAUGAAGGCUGGUUUAUUUCUAGGUCUGUUUCUAUAAACGUGCACAUUUCUAUUUCUAUGUCUGCAAGAGAGAUGCUGAGGGGAAGGGGCUGCAAGGGAGUUGUGAGCUUGUGAGAAGCCUUCGGCUGAUUCCUGUGGGAGCUGUCACAGCAGGUUGAUGAGAAGGGUUUGUGCUCAAUACUCAGGAACUGCUAUUUCUGGUGUCAGGGAGAUGCCGGGAGCAGGGAUGGGGCUGUUGUUAGCGCUGGUGUUUUGACAGGAGCUGACAACCUGCUUAAACCUGGGGGUGAAGUCAAAGUGGGUGUUUAAAGCUGACAGAGGCCAUGUGGCGUGAGGGGAUCCCAGCUGGGCGAGGGGUGCAAAAUCUGGAAACUGGGACCCCAGGAGUGCAGUGUGGUGGGUUGGCCAGCACCAACAGGUGCUGGUCACAGCACUGUGCUUUGUUUUAAUCACAUCUCUGGUUUCACACUACAGGCCUGUAGGAAGAGAAUGGGUUCUGCUCAGCUUCUGCCAACCAAAUUCAGCCGAAAAUGGAAUGCUUUAAGGAAAAAAAAAAACACAGAGCUGUCAGAGACAACUCACGCCAUCUGGUGACCUUAAUUUCAAACAGGGAACAGGGUCAUUUAAACUGGAGCUAAAGGAAGACGCGAAGGUAGAUCUGAUGGAAAUGCGCUUGUCUACAUUUCAUCUUUCAACUUCAGAUGGAAACCAAAUUCUUGACAAGCUAUAUAUCCUUGUUAAUCUUAGUGGCGUGAUCUGAAUAAGGGAAUUGGUUUUGCUAAAUUCUGAAAUUAGUCAUUUCUUGUUAUAUUGUUCUUUUUCUUGUCCAUUUUAAUUGGAUUAAUUGGAUUGUUCUCUUUCUGCCCUGAUUCAUGGAGGUGUGCUAUUAAAUAGCUGCUGCUUUCUAUUGGACCAGU